GCCAGCAGCCAUAUCACCCUGCAACUCACAACUGGCAACCCACUGAAGCUAAGAAGGUGUGAGCCAUCAGUACCUGGAUGGGAGACCUCCUGGGAAAAACUAAGGUUGCUGCUGGAA
rnacentral:rRNA from 1 species